rnacentral:rRNA from 1 species
CUACGGGGCGCUGCAGGCGCGAAACCUUUACAAUGCACGAAAGUGUGAUAAGGGAAUUCCAAGUGCUCAAGCUUAGCUUGGGCUUUUGCCAAGAGUAAAUACCUUGGCGAAUAAGUGGUGGGCAAGACUGGUGCCAGCAGCCGCGGUAACACCAGCGCCACGAGUGGCGACCAGAAUUAUUGGGCCUAAAGCGUUCGUAGCCUGUUAUGUAAAUCUUUUGUGAAAUUGUCGAGCUUAACUUGUCAGAUUGCAGAAGACACUGCAUAACUUGGGACCGGAAGGGGUUAGGAGUAUUUUGGGGGGAGCGGUAAAAUGUUAUAAUCCUCAAAAGACUACCUGUGGCGAAGGCGCCUAACCAGUACGGAUCCGACGGUGAGGAACGAAAGCUGGGGGAGCGAUCCGGAUUAGAUACCCGCGUAGUC